GACGAACGCUGGCGGCGUGCCUAACACAUGCAAGUCGAGCGAUGAAAUUAGAAACGGAGUCUUCGGACGAAGAGGAAAAUGGAUUAGCGGCGGACGGGUGAGUAACACGUGAGCAACCUGCCUAUCACAUCGGGAUAGCCUCGGGAAACUGGGAUUAAUACCGAAUGAAACAUAAUCACUGCCUAGUGGAAAUGUCAAAGAUUUAUCGGUGAUAGAUGGGCUCGCGUCUGAUUAGCUAGUUGGUGAGGUAAUGGCUCACCAAGGCGACGAUCAGUAGCCGGCCUGAGAGGGUGAACGGCCACAUUGGGACUGAGACACGGCCCAAACUCCUACGGGAGGCAGCAGUGGGGAAUAUUGCACAAUGGAGGGAACUCUGAUGCAGCGACGCCGCGUGAGCGAUGAAGGCUUUCGAGUCGUAAAGCUCUGUCGAAUGGGAAGAUAAUGACGGUACCAUUUGAGAAAGCCCCGGCUAACUACGUGCCAGCAGCCGCUGUAAAAC
rnacentral:rRNA from 1 species